AAGCCGGUCUGUCGCGCACGCUGGUCGUGUGAGGAAAGUCCGGGCAACACAGGGCACCAUACUUCUUAACGAGAAGCUGUCCGUGAGGGUAGAGUAGCGUAACAGAAAAUAACCGCCGCCGCUGCAGAGCGGCGGUAAGGGUGAAAAGGUGGGGUAAGAGCCCACGGGUGGGGGUGGUGACACGUUCCGCCGUACGUCUUAUGGGUUGUAAGGUUAUGUAUAUCGGCGUUUGAGGGCUGCCCGUCCGAGCCGAGGGGUAAACCGCAAAGAGCUGCAUGGUGACAUGCAGCCAAGAUAAAUGGCAGACACUGCGUGAAAUAUCGCGGCACAGAACCCGGCUUAUAGGCUUGCUGU
rnacentral:RNase_P_RNA from 1 species